rnacentral:rRNA from 1 species
AGAUUGAACGCUGGCGGCAUGCCUAACACAUGCAAGUCGAACGGGAGUAGCAAUACUCUAGUGGCGGACGGGUGAGGAAUACGUAGGAAUUUGCCCUUAAGUGGGGGAUAACCCGGGGAAACCCGGAUUAAUACCGCAUGACCUCGAAAGAGCAAAGUGGGGGAUCGCAAGACCUCACGCUUUUGGAGAAGCCUACGUCGGAUUAGCUAGUUGGUGAGGUAAUGGCUCACCAAGGCGACGAUCCGUAACUGGUCUGAGAGGAUGAUCAGUCACACCGGAACUGAGACACGGUCCGACUCCUACGGGAGCAGCAGUGGGGAAUAGUUGGACAAUGGG